AAAUGAAUGAUUUUUCCCAGUGAAAAAUGAUUUAUUAGGGGGAAGGGACGUGACUUUUAUGCAAAAUUUCCCACAUGGAAUUGUUCAAUGAGUUCUUGCCUCAAAGAAGAGUCGAACAUCAGACUGCAAACCUCUAAGAUGAACCACAAGAUAAAAAGUUCUGAAGUGAACAGUGAUCGUUGUCAUUUAUGUCGUGGAUUAUUCAGGUUCCUUGCUUUCUGCUGACACUCACUUUUAACCAUCUGAUGGGUUCAUUUUUAUCCUCUAACCAUUUCAUUACUGAAACACAAACCAAACUCUGGAAAGGAAUUUGGUAAUGAGGAAAAAAACCGCAAUUAUGAUUUAAAUUGAGACUUGGGGAUUUUCUGUGGAUUACCCAUGUCCCACCUUACCAAAGAAAAACAUAAAUUUUAAUUAGAAUAUAAAGCAAUUCUUUCUGAAAAUGUGGGAUGGAAGAGGUCACUCCUGGGUAUUGGGAGUAUAUUUAUCCCUCAUAAAAUCUUCACCCCAGAGUGUGUAAGACUGGGAUGAAAGACAUUGAAGGUAUAUUAAAUUUUAUUCUAGCAUUGAUGGGAGAAAAAGAAAAAUGAAGCAGGGUGAAAAAUAAAGUGAUUGAGAGGGAGAGAGAAAAGACAAGGCAGAGAAACUUGUUAAUUACAGGACUUUCUGAGCAAGAUAUUUUUCUUCCUUUCACAAGUUAGAAGCUAUUGAAUAAUUCAUGCUAAGCGGGGAAAGGCUGCCUUUUCCCCGGGUGAUGUAUAAUAUAACUGAGCAGGAAAGAGCUUAGAGUGGGUUCACCAUAUCAGCCACCCCUCUUGCUUCUGAGCACAGGGUGGGUGCUCUUCUCUGGAGCUCAGCUUCUGCUUUUGCAGCCAAGCAUCCUUGCCUUCUGCCUGCCUGCCCGCCGUCUGGGAUUGCAGCCCGCCACUUUCCUUUCCACAGCCCUGCUGCCAGCUGAGAAGUCUCCUGGCAGCUGCUGGUUUCUGCCUAGGACCAUGUGUGUGGGUGCUGCCUGGGAGAAGUGGGCACUUGCUCCUGGCUCUGAUCCCAGCUGAGUUUCUCCUGUUGAUUUCGGGACCACAGAUGCUGCUGCUGGAGGUAUUUCCUGGCAUCCCUCCCUCUGCUACCGCCAGCUUAGGACCGGCCCCAAAGUAAGGUACUCCCAAGCCCUUUCCCCUGGCAUUUUUCCCAGCUGGGGCAUCUCUGCUUUCUCCUGGAAAGUAGGGGCUCCAUCUGGCAACAUUCGUGUGUGUGUGUGUGUGUGUGUGUGUGUGUGUGUGUGUGUGUGUUUGGAGGAGAAGAGACUUCUUGAUAUUGCUCUGUUCUAGGGCUUCCCUGGUGCCUGCUGAAUGCAAAGAGGCCUUUCCUGGAGACAUUCCCGAGGCAGGCACCUGUCAUCUGCCACCCCCGUUCUCCACGAGAUCCCUCUCUCCCCCUCCCCCAGCCCAUUCUUCUCCUUCAGCCUUUUGUGCCGGUGGCAGAAGGCUGAAGGGCUGUCUCUGCCCUCCCGGCAGGCAGGCGGGUGUCGGGAUGGGCCGCGCUGCGAGGAGCCGACGCUAGCCAGCGAGGUGUGAAGAGUUGGCCAGAAUGACCAACUCCUCCUCCACGUCGGCUUCCACCACCACCGGGGGGUCGCUGCUCCUGCUGUGCGAGGAAGAGGAGUCCUGGGCGGGCCGGCGAAUCCCCGUGUCCCUCCUGUACUCGGGCCUGGCCAUCGGGGGCACGCUGGCCAACGGCAUGGUCAUCUAUCUCGUGUCGUCCUUCCGAAAGCUGCAGACCACCAGCAACGCCUUCAUCGUGAACGGCUGCGCCGCGGACCUCAGCGUCUGCGCCCUCUGGAUGCCGCAGGAGGCGGUGCUCGGGCUCCUGCCCGCUGGCUCCCCGGAGCCCCCCGGGGACUGGGAUGGCGCCGCGGGCAGCUACCGCCUGCUGCGGGGCGGGCUGCUGGGCCUCGGGCUCACCGUGUCCCUGCUGUCCCACUGCCUCGUGGCCCUGAACCGCUACCUGCUCAUCACCCGGGCGCCCGCCACCUACCAGGCGCUAUACCAGCGACGCCAUACGGCCGGCAUGCUGGCGCUGUCCUGGGCGCUGGCCCUGGGCCUCGUGCUGCUGCUCCCGCCCUGGGCGCCGAGUCCCGGCGCAGCGCCCCCGCGCGUGCACUACCCCGCGCUGCUGGCGGCCGCGGCGCUGCUGGCGCAGACGGCGCUGCUGCUGCACUGCUACCUGGGCAUCGUGCGCCGCGUGCGCGUCAGCGUCAAGCGGGUCAGCGUCCUCAACUUCCACCUGCUGCACCAGCUGCCCGGCUGCGCCGCCGCCGCCGCCGCCUUCCCCAGCGCCCCGCACGCGCCCGGCCCGGGGGGAGCCGCGCUCCCUGCGCCCGCCCAGCCCCUGCCGCCCGCGCUGCAUCCGCGGCGGGCGCAGCGGCGUCUCAGCGGCCUGUCGGUGCUGCUGCUCUGCUGCGUCUUCCUGCUGGCCACGCAGCCGCUGGUGUGGGUGAGCCUGGCCAGCGGCUUCUCGCUGCCCGUACCCUGGGGUGUGCAGACGGCCAGCUGGCUCCUGUGCUGCGCCCUGUCCGCGCUCAACCCGCUGCUCUACACGUGGAGGAACGAGGAGUUCCGCCGCUCCGUACGCUCGGUCCUGCCGGGCGUCGGCGACGCGGCAGCCGCAGCUGUGGCCGCCACUGCCGUACCCGCCGUGUCCCAGGCGCAGCUGGGCACCCGCGCGGCUGGCCAGCACUGGUGACUCGGCCAGGACCCGAGGGAGGCAGAGUCCCGGCUUCCAACGCCCUUGGUCACCAUCGCCUCCUGCCCUUGUAAAGUAUCUCCUGCCUGGACGAAGACUCCUGCGCAAAGAUCAGUAAACUGAGAAAUCCUGAAGUCAAAACACCGCAGACUUCUAGAACUUGCAAACUGACAUUUUAAAAAGAACCAGUUAAUUUAUUUUGACACUGUUUUUGAAAAAGAACUUUGACGACGUGUUACCAUUCCCACCUUCAUCGUCUUGUAACAUACAUGAAAGCGCCUCGAGUGUGCAUGAGCCAAAGGAAAUACUCUUGAUGAAGAAAAUAAUAUGUAAGAAGUAUUUUAGAAAGUAACCUAUGUUUGAGGAUGCUUCUGUUAUAAUUUACCCUGUGUAUAGUUAGUCACCUGAAGAAUGAAGCCACAGAUGUGCACACUAGUAAUGAGUUGCCAUGAAGCCUCAGGCCCUUUAUUUUUACACGGGUGUUUAUAAAGUAAAAUUAAUCCUGAAUGAGAUAGAAUCUUAGCCAGUGAGAAACAAUACAAAACAGAUUUAUUAUUUUAUACUCCUUUUUGCACUUCUAAGACUGUUGAAUGGCAUUGAGUGUUAAAAUGAAAAUUUUCCGUCUUGCUGAUUGAUGUUCUGAGCCAACAAUGGAAUUUUGAAAACAAGAGGGUUACCUCUUUUAGGUACCAGAUUCACAUGUUCUAUAGCAUGCACACUUGUUGCUACCCUCAUUUUGUAACCCAUUUACUUGCCUUAUGAGUGUGAUUGCAGCUCUGUACUACAAUGGUUGCUAAGGAGAAUAAGUUCUGUUUUCUCUUUACUAUUUAAAAUAUCUCAAUGCACAUGAUAUAAUUAAACACUAAUAAUACCAUGACUGCAUACCUAAUAUUAGCUGCUAUUGCAUGCUCUUAGAUGCUAGAACUUAUUGGGCAUGUGGUCUACUAAAGCAAUACCCAUUAGACAAGGACGUUUUACUUCUUCCAGGGACUGGAAGAAGUGGCCUUCCAUUAUUUGAAAAGAGACACAGAGAACCUCUGGCUACCUAAAGUUCUUGUCUUGACCCAAUUUAUGAGGAAAUACCCGGUUGGGACUUUAUCUUGCAAAUGGAACCACAGUCAAGAUGGAUCAAUAAUAUGGUUUGGCUCUACAAAGACUUCUGUGCUCUUUUAGGGUUUAGACAAGCCAUGCAUUAGAAAGCAGCACUGUUUUUAUGUAGUUCAUGUAUAUUACCAUAUUAACAUUAAUAUUGUGUCUGUUACACAAUAUUAUUUAACUCAGUUAUAUGUAACAAAUAGUUCAAAUGGGAAUUUGUUCUAAAAUGUAUGAUUUGAGGCUUGUCAUUUUUAUCUUUGGUUUACUAAAUUUAUUUAGAAAUAUUUGAAAUGCAGUUGUGUAAAACCACUUUAUAAAUUAAAAUGGGAAGAAAUUUUAAAUAAAUGUCUAUUAGCAGUCAGACUGCUAACUACAUGAAAUCUGGGGCUGAAUAGCCUCAGUUAACUGUGUAAUUGCUUUGUCACCCUCGUGGGCAUUGUAAGCCAGAAGAGUGGGAACACUUGUGUAUUUGAAUAAUUUUUGGAGUUGCAGGAAACUGACAUCUCUGUAGUAAAACAAAGCAAAACAAAUAUGUUCAUCACCAAUAAUAGAUCAGCAGUCAUUUUAUUAAUCUAUCCCUUAGUGCAUGCACCAUUUUUCUCUUUCUAAGGUUUUAUCUGUUCCCAUUUUCCUUGAUUCAAAUAAUUAAAGUUCAGACAAUUGUUCUUCUGAGUUGUUUUCUUCUGUCUCUGCUCUUGCUUACCUCCUUGAGAACACUAUACCAGAUGACACUGUUGUAAAGCACUAGUGAUGAAAGUACAUUCCUUGUUCUGGCUUUAUUUAAUUUUACUUUGGUUUCUAAAAUUAUUUCCACCUUAUGUAAUUAAUUAGUGUCCAUAUGCCAUCAUUAAAAAGAAGUAGGUAUAAUUUCCUUUCUGUAAGCAUCAUUCACAAGGAAAAUGGGCUGCAACAACAACAGAGCUGCAGAUUUUUCUUUUGGGAGAGUCCAGGGGCACUUUUCUAAAUCUCUAUCAAAAAGGUCUUCUUUUAAUUAGGUCUUUCUCCUUGUUUCUCACUGUGGAUGCUGCAAACGAUUUCUUCCAAUGUUCCUGUAAAUGUUUGCCACACAUAUAAACUUAGCUUUUCACGUACCUGUUAUCUUGCAAUGUUUCUGGCUAACACUGAGAACCAUCUCAUGCUGGCUCAAUGCCAUAUGGAAGACCUACUGUAGGUUAUAUUUACUGGUAAUUAACUCCACAGGACUGAUGCACUUUUAGUUUCAAAGUAGCAGUGAUGUGUCCAAAAAUGCCUUUCUAGGGCACUAAUUGGGAAUGUUGGAGUUACUGUUUUUACAAAUUAAGUUAAUGGAGAUUGGGUUCUUAUUUAAAUGAAACCAGAUAUUAUCCACUCAGGAAUAAAAAAACCUAAUUGUUGCCCUACUUUGCCUUUCUACUUUUAUUUGUUAGAUAUAUGCCUGUUAAGACAUAUAGCAACAUCCUCCACCCCUUGCAUUUUAAUGGCUAAAUUCUAGUAUGUAAUAGG